UACGGGGGGGGGCAAGCGUUGUUCGGAAUUACUGGGCGUAAAGGGCUCGUAGGCGGCCAACUAAGUCAGACGUGAAAUCCCCAGGCUCAACCUGGGAACUGCGUCUGAUACUGGAUGGCUUGAAUCCGGGAGAGGGAUGCAGAAUUCCAGGUGUAGCGGUGAAAUGCGUAGAUAUCUGGAGGAAUACCGGUGGCGAAGGCGGCAUCCUGGACCGGCAUUGACGCUGAUGAGUGAAAAGCUAGGGGGAGCAAACGGGG
rnacentral:rRNA from 1 species